UGAGGAGCUUGCUCCUUUGACGUUAGCGGCGGACGGGUGAGUAACACGUGGAUAACCUACCUAUAAGACUGGGAUAACUUCGGGAAACCGGAGCUAAUACCGGAUAACAUAUUGAACCGCAUGGUUCAAUAGUGAAAGGCGGCUUUGCUGUCACUUAUAGAUGGAUCCGCGCCGUAUUAGCUAGUUGGUAAGGUAACGGCUUACCAAGGCAACGAUACGUAGCCGACCUGAGAGGGUGAUCGGCCACACUGGAACUGAGACACGGUCCAGACUCCUACGGGAGGCAGCAGUAGGGAAUCUUCCGCAAUGGGCGAAAGCCUGACGGAGCAACGCCGCGUGAGUGAUGAAGGUCUUCGGAUCGUAAAACUCUGUUAUCAGGGAAGAACAAAUGUGUAAGUAACUGUGCACAUCUUGACGGUACCUGAUCAGAAAGCCACGGCUAACUACGUGCCAGCAGCCGCGGUAAUACGUAGGUGGCAAGCGUUAUCCGGAAUUAUUGGGCGUAAAGCGCGCGUAGGCGGUUUUUUAAGUCUGAUGUGAAAGCCCACGGCUCAACCGUGGAGGGUCAUUGGAAACUGGAAAACUUGAGUGCAGAAGAGGAAAGUGGAAUUCCAUGUGUAGCGGUGAAAUGCGCAGAGAUAUGGAGGAACACCAGUGGCGAAGGCGACUUUCUGGUCUGUAACUGACGCUGAUGUGCGAAAGCGUGGGGAUCAAACAGGAUU
rnacentral:rRNA from 1 species